AUGAACUGUUCUGAAUUUGUUCAAGGAGCUACAACAGAGGGGCUACAGAGACGAGAUUCUCCACCUAUGACACAUAGUCAAAGAGCGACAAGAUCACCAUUGGUAAGGUCACCGGUGGCGAGCACGUGGAGAUCUUCCCUUGGUCUUCUAGCAAGAGUUGCAGCCUCAAAAAGGGGCAGGUCUCCCUCAACGAGGAUUGCAAGUUCCCCAUUGGAGGAGAGGGCAAAUUCGUCCGCGAGAUCACCAUCUAUCUUAGGAUCCCCUUCUCCAGUGACUACUCCAUUUGGAGGCUCAAAAAUUAAUCAUCCACAUGUCCGCAAGACAAGAAGGCUAACUUCUGCUGUUUGGAGGGAUUUCAAACCAAUUUAUCGUCAUAAGAUACUUGUCAAAGCUCAGUGCAAGCACUGUCAUGAAGUGUUUCAAGCUGGACGAGAUGUUGGCACAAGUGGUGUAAGAAGACACUUGGCUGCUUGCGAAAAAAGGUCAGAUUUACACCUCUACGUUGAGAAGAUGAAGUCCCCGGUUUCAUCUCCUGAUGCCUCUAUGCUUAAGCAAUGGAACUUUGAUCAAGAAACAUCUAGAGAUUUGCUUGCCAGAAUGAUAGUAAUGCAUGAGUUGCCUUUCUCAAUAGUUGAGUACAGUGGUUUUAGAGACUUCGUGAAAAGUUUGAAUCCCUUGUUCAAAAAUGUUUCUAGAAAUACUAUUAAAGAUGAGUGCAUGAAACACUAUAAUUUGGAGAGGUCGGCGUUCUCUGGACAUUUGAAGAAAUACAGUGGUAGAGUUUCUUUAACAGCGGACAUGUGGACAUCUAAUCAGACUUUGUCCUAUCUAUGCAUCACUUGCCAUUUGAUCAACAGCAAGUGGAUUUUGCAAAAGAGGAUCUUUAGAUUUUUUAUGGUGGAGACUCCACAUAAUGGAGUAACAAUGUUUAAUGUCUUAUUAAAGAGUUUGCAGGAGUGUAAUAUUGAGGACAAACUCUUUAGUAUGACAUUGGAUAAUGCAUCAGUUAAUGGUACAAUGGUCAAUAAUCUUAGAAAAAAUCUGAACAGCAAGCAUAUGUUGCCUAUUAAAGGUCAAUUACUUCAUAUCCGUUGUGCAUGCCAUGUGAUAAAUUUGAUUGUCCAAGAUGGGUUGACAACGAUGAAAGGUGUGAUAGAUGAUAUCAGAGAGAGUGUGAAGUACAUUAAGAGUUCUCCCUCUCGGUUGGACAAGUUCAAAGAAGUAGUUGCGCAAGUUGGUAUCUCUUGCAAACUCCCCUCACGUUGGAACUCCACCUAUAUUAUGUUGGAGUCAGCGCUCCCCUUUCGAAGAGCCUUUCGUGCUUUGGUGCAAAAGGACCCAGAUUAUGUGUUUUGCCCAUCCUCAGGAGAGUGGAAAAAUGCUGAUACAGUUUGUGCUAUGUUAAACGUUUUUCACACAGCCACAAAUGUACUUUCUGGUUCAAGUUAUUCUACCUCAAAUUUGUACUUUCAUCAAAUCUGGAAUGUGAGGUUAUUGUUGCAGAAGGAAGCUUCAACAAAGGAUGAAGUCGUUCAAGCAAUGGUUGGAGAGAUGCAAAAAAAGUUUGAUAAGUAUUGGAUGGAAUCAUAUUUGCCAAACUGUAUUCCUGUGAUCCUUGAUCCACGAUUUAAACUUUGCUUCAUCGAGUUUCGACUAAAACAAGCUUUUGGUCCAGAUGUAGAAAGACACUUGCUUGCAGUGAAAGAAGUUCUUGACAACCUUUACGAAGAAUAUUCUUCACAAAUGACGGAUGCAUUGGAUGAGUCAGCACCCCGACAAAAUUUUGAUGAGGUUGUGAAUGAAGAGAAUGAUCCGUUGGCGGAUUGGGACCAACACUUGAAUAAGAAGCAACGCCAAACUGCUAGUGAGCUUGCCAGAUACUUAGAAGAAGACACAUUCACUCGCACGGAGGAUUUCAACAUUCUUCAAUGGUGGCAUCUUCACUCGUCUAAGUAUCCCAUCCUUUCUUGUAUAGCUCGUGAUGUUCUUGCUGUACAAGCUUCCGUCGUAUCGUCAGAGUCGGCUUUCAGUACCGGAAAGCGUUUGAUCAGCGAUUACAGAAGUAGAUUAUGCAGCGAGACAGUGGAAGCCUUAAUCUGCCUUCAAGAUUGGUUUAGAUGUAAUGAUAAGCAUGCCAAUGCUCCUGAUCAAGGUCACUACUAUUAA
rnacentral:rRNA from 1 species